UUUCCAGUAGUCAUAUGCUUGUCUCAAAGAUUAAGCCAUGCAUGUCUAAGUACAUACCUUUGCACGGUGAAACCGCGAAUGGCUCAUUAAAUCAGUUAUGGUUCCUUAGAUCGUUCAUACUACAUGGAUAACUGUGGUAAUUCUAGAGCUAAUACAUGCAAAAAGCUCCGACCGUAUGGGAAGAGCGCUUUUAUUAGACCAAAACCAAUGGGGUCGCAAGAUCCCUUUGUAUGGUGACUCUGGAUAACUUUGUGCUGAUCGCAUGGCCUCGAGCCGGCGACGUAUCUUUCAAGUGUCUGCCCUAUCAACUUUCGAUGGUAAGCGAUUUGCCUACCAUGGUUGUAACGGGUAACGGGGAAUCAGGGUUCGAUUCCGGAGAGGGAGCAUGAGAAAUGGCUACCACAUCUACGGAAGGCAGCAGGCGCGCAAAUUACCCACUCCUAGAACGGGGAGGUAGUGACGAAAAAUAACAAUACCGGACUCAAUGAGGCUCGGUAAUGAAAUGAGA
rnacentral:rRNA from 1 species